rnacentral:lncRNA from 1 species
UAGAUGAUUAUUUCAAUGAAGUAGAGGCUUUAAUAUUUCUUUGUUUCAUAAUCCUCGCAUCAUCAAGUCUAUUGCUGAUGGUGACUUAAAUCGCCAUGCCCCCCUUGAUCGGUAGCAAUUCUGAACUCUCAUGCAUACCGCCCUGAAUUGUGGAUAGAAACAAGCAAUCUGAAGAACGGAAAGACGUAUAGAUAUGUUAGAGAGCAUGAAAUAUGGUGGUAAAUUCUCAUAUUAGAAUUUUGUCUAUCUUGGACUUAAAGUUACAAUUUUAAUUAGAACAAACAAGAAUUCUUAUAUGUAGCAAGAGGGAAAUCCCAGCCUUUUAAAAUCUGGAUUUAAAUUACAAGGAAUACAUUUUGGCUCCUUCAGAGGCCUACAAAUAUAAUUUUUAAAACUACCACUUGCAUCUAGAAAUAGCAAAACUGUACAAUACUUUGAAUUCCUUCUUGUUCCCUUAAUAUUUAAAUUAACACUUAAAUUUGCUUUAGAAACAAUAAUAAUAUGGGACUUUGGAUUAAAGAUAUAAAAGAUAUGUAAAAGGAAUUUGAAGCAUCCUUACAUGACUCCACGGGGUGGAGAUGGAAGUUGGGAUCAGACUGUGAGCCUUAUGAAGAGCCUGUUAGCACCAUGGUAGCGACCACCAGGAUCAUUACUGGUUGAUGCUUCAUUCUCCCUAGUAAAAUUGAAAAUGGAGAAGGACAUGUUUGUAUUUGCCGUGGAUCUCUAUGAGUCAUGAGUGGAACUAUAGGC